CCUUAGCUGAUUUCAAGAGCCCACAUUUAAAAGAAAUUACUUGGGAAGUCUUGCCUUUGUAACUUCAAAGACCAGGAUGCUGGUUUAUAUUUGUCUGCAGGAAUAGUGGAAAGGUAAUAAAGCCUCUGAAAUGACUGCACUUGGCAAGAGGGUCUCUUGUGUCAUUUACAGCAGGGGAGAACUCACAGAAUAAAUUCAGUGACUGGAGAAGAGGACAUCUCUAGAGAUAACUGGAAAGGAGAGGAGGAAGGGAUAAGGAGACCUCGUAACCUAUUCUUCGAUACUCCUCAAAACUUGGAGUCUAACUUCUCUCCCCUUGGAUGUGAG
rnacentral:lncRNA from 1 species